GGAGUUAGCCGGUGCUUCUUCUGCGAGUAACGUCACAGAUGUAAGGUAUUAACUUACACCCUUUCCUCCUCGCUGAAAGUGCUUUACAACCCGAAGGCCUUCUUCACACACGCGGCAUGGCUGCAUCAGGGUUUCCCCCAUUGUGCAAUAUUCCCCACUGCUGCCUCCCGUAGGAGUCUGGGCCGUGUCUCAGUCCCAGUGUGGCUGAUCAUCCUCUCAGACCAGCUAGGGAUCGUCGCCUAGGUGAGCCUUUACCUCACCUACUAGCUAAUCCCACCUGGGCUUAUCCAUCAGCGCAAGGCCCGAAGGUCCCCUGCUUUCCCCCGUAGGGCGUAUGCGGUAUUAGCAGUCGUUUCCAACUGUUAUCCCCCACAAAUGGGCAAAUUCCCAGGCAUUACUCACCCGUCCGCCGCUCGUCAUCUUCAAAAGCAAGCUUUUGAAAUGUUACCGCUCGACUUGCAUGUGUUAGGCCUGCCGCCAGCGUUCAAUCUGAGCCAUAAUCAAACUCUAGA
rnacentral:rRNA from 1 species